AGGUGUGUGAACGCUGUUCAUCAGAAGGUUACUGAGGUCAGGAAGUCUGAUUGGUGGACUGGUUUUGUUUUAUUGGCUGUUCCAGGUCCUGACCAGCAGGGGGCAGCAGAGCUCAGCGAGGACACCCGAGCAGCUCAGCUGCAGAGCGUCGGCUCUCUGAAGGUCACCAUCCAGCAGAGCAACGAGAGUCGGGAGUUUGGACAGACCGACAGACCGGCAGACAGACAGCCAGGUGGACUUCACUGUCAUGUCUGCGGCCUCACUUGUUGCUCUCUGCAGGUGUUUCAAGAGCACAUGUCAGGACAAGAACACCUGAGGAAACUACAGGAGAUCACAAACGACAUCUGUCUGAACACACACACCCUGCUGCAAAGGUAUGAACACACACUGUUAUACAGGUAGAAACACACACACACACUGUUAUACAGGUAGAGACACACACACACACACUGUUAUACAGGUAGGUUGGCACUGAUAACCGUGAUGUCAUCCAGUCUAAAUUUGUUAUUAUUUACAUGCAGAUGGUUCAAAGCUUAUCUCACCAAUCAAACUGUGUGUCAAAAUAACUAGAGAUGGACAAUAUAUCGGCAUCAAUAUCGGUAUCGGCCGAUGUUAGUCAUUUUUAACAUAUCGGUAUCGGUUCGAUAAAUAAAACCGAGCCAAUAUUAACAACCGAUAUUUUUUCCAUCUGGUCUCCGUUUGUUUGCCGUUUUCAGAGUGCGAGGGGGGGUGAGGUGUAAUUGUUUAGUCAUGUGAACAGUGGAUGAAAUCAUCUCAGAACUGUAAAUGUGUGUGUACAUAAUAACGUUAAUUCAGCUUUAAGGAUUUUCAUUCUAUACAAAAUC
rnacentral:lncRNA from 1 species